ACGAGUUUUUAAUUGUUAGGUUAGAGUUGAGCUGGUUAAUCUAAUUAAUACGUGCUUACUCUAAUCGAAACAAAGUCCCACUCAUUACUUACAACUUGUGAACUUAUUCAUUAUAAACAUUAUUAUUUGUUAUUGGAACGUUUGAUUAUUAAAAAGUUAAUA
rnacentral:misc_RNA from 1 species